GUAGGUGGCAAGCGUUGUCCGGAAUUAUUGGGCGUAAAGCGCGCGCAGGCGGUUCUUUAAGUCUGAUGUGAAAGCCCACGGGCUCAACCGUGGAGGGUCAUUGGAAACUGGAGAACUUGAGUACAGAAGAGGAAAGCGGAAUUCCACGUGUAGCGGUGAAAUGCGUAGAGAUGUGGAGGAACACCAGUGGCGAAGGCGGCUUUCUGGUCUGUAACUGACGCUGAGGCGCGAAAGCGUGGGGAGCAAACAGGAUUAGAUACCCUGGUAGUCCACGCCGUAAACGAUGAGUGCUAAGUGUUAGGGGGUUUCCGCCCCUUGGUGCUGCAGCUAACGCAUUAAGCACUCCGCCUGGGGAGUACGGCCGCAAGGCUG
rnacentral:rRNA from 1 species